rnacentral:sRNA from 1 species
UGAAAAAGAUAUGAAAAUGGACAUUGGUGCUGAUCACACAAUAUGAAUGUACUUAUAUUUAAUGCUACUAAACUGUACUUAUAAAAUGAUUGAAAUACAGAAUUGUGUAUUUGUGUGUGUGUGUGUGUGUGCAUGUGUGUGUGUUUUACUGGAAAUUAAAACCAAGGUCUGGGGUUCAGGAUGUGGCUCAAGUGGUAGUGCGCUCACCUGGCAUGCAUGAGGCCCUGAGUUCAA